rnacentral:tRNA from 1 species
GAGAAUUUAGUUAAAAAUAUAAUAUAAGCUUGUCAUGCUUAAGAUGCUUGUAAAGCAAUUCUUU